CACUUACACAUCACCAAAACAAAAGAGGACACUGAUUUGCAUAAACAGAAUAUGCUAAUUUAAAAAUUAGAAAGGAUCUUUAAAUAACUUUUAAAAAUUACAAUACAUUUCACCUGAGUGGGAAGGAACUGUGACCAGGUGGCCUGUGCUGACUGCCCUCCCAAGUGCUAAUUGUGGAUGGACAAUUUUAAUGUCACCUCAUACAUGGUUCUUUGUCUUUCAACUAGAUGUGGAAUGGGCAGCCCUUCAAACAGAGGACACCUUCACCAGAGACAUCUUUUGGCAGCACUUCAAACUGAACCAUGGUGGUAGGGGGUCAUGCAACCCUCCAAAUAUUGUUGGAAUGCAAACUUUGGAGAUCUAGCUAGCAUGGCCAGUGGUGGUGAGGAUGGUGAGGAAUAUUGGCAUUUGGUGAGGAUACCAGAUGGUGAUGAAUUCCAGCAUUUGCAACACAAUAUCUGGAAAGCUACAUUUUCCCCACUCUUGAAACAGAAUAUCCUCCCUGUAGAAGAGGACACAUAGCUACACACCACUUCAGUGGUGUAUGUGUGGGAUCAGAUGGAAUUACUCGUGUCCCCAUUUUAACAUUUUUGUUUUAUAAAUGCUGCACUGCAGGAUCAUACCUGUGUGAUGGUAUGACAGGAGCUUGGGGAUGGAGUUGGGGCAUGCAGUUGCCAUGACCCCACUCCACCCCAGUGCUGGCCCUGUACGGCCCCUAAGUGUCUGGACUGCAUUAAAGAAACAGAGUAUUGCAGAGCCAAAACAAUCCAUACUUUAGUUGUUUGGAAUUCAAAUACUAGUAAGACUCUCAAUCAUCCUAUGUGUAGUCUAAGCAUAUUCAUUGUUCCUUGACCUUCAGCUUCUCUGCAGAAGUGUCUCUGGAGUUAUCUUACCUGUCACAAAAUUUGACCUGGGGUCAUUGUCUGAAACUGUGCAAGGCACUAUUGAUCUGUGGCAUGUCUCCUUGCAGAACACAUUUGUAUCUGAAAGCAGCUCUUUAACAGAAUUAUUCACUCAGCAUUACCCCCUCUCCCUUAUGUUGCUAAUAUUUCUGUGGUAUCUGUUGGAAUAUGAUCCAGAGGGAAAAUAUCCAGAUGUGGGUGAAAGGUGAUAAGGUAACUAUAGGUCACCUGCAGCCAUGGUGACUAAGCAUUUGGGCUGUGCUGAGUCACAGGAUGUGCUGUCAUAGUGAUGUCAUGAGCUGGAAACUAAAGCAAAGUGCUGCAAAAGUGCUGCAAAAGCACUGAGUCACCCUUCCUGGGGGACUGGGUUUAAGGUGACACACCAGGAAGAGGCUGGACUAAGUGGCCGCAUGGCACUGGUGUAUAUAAGAGUGGAGCUUCAUUGUACAGUGUGGGUUGAUGGUGUUGUGGUGUUAUGCAAGUAGCUUUGUCGGAGAAGACAAACUUGUCCAUAGAGCAACUGAAGAUUAAAGGGCCUCGUUAUGAGACAUAUGGCUUGAGUCUCCUUUAUCGGCUUCUGGAGGAAUUUUUUGAGUGCUUGUUGUACCCAACUCUACCUAGUCUCCAUUGUGUCAUAGCAUCAGAAUUCAAAUGCAAGAAUCUGCUGGGAUUUCUCUAGCAUCUCUACUGAUGAAGCAAACAUAACAGAGGAUGUAGAGCCUUUCUAAGGCAGUAUGCCCAACCAUGGAAUGUAACAUGGAGACGUGGGAAGUGGUAAUGGGCAGAGUCUAGAAAUGCUGGAAAGAUUGUCCAGAUACUGCAUUUUAUGGAUUGCACUUCUCAGAUUUAGAAGAUUCUCAAAGGAGGCUAGUCCAGAGGGCCUCAGAGCCUGACACUAAAAAAGAAACUGAAGAGAAUGCGUUCAGUUGGAGACAAAGGUCCUCUGGAAAGACUUAGAAGAAUGCUGAAGAAACCAUGACAUUAACAAAGCUACAGGAACAAAACACAUUUCUCCUCUAUAAACAGGCUGCUGAGAUGAUUUUGCACCUUCUUUCAUGAAAUGUGGGAGGAAUAAUGCAGCCUUUUGAUGGCAAAUUUCCUUUUGAGAAGAAAGAACUGGAGUCUUAAUACAUGGAAGUCAACAUUGCAAAAGGUGAAGUUUGAGAAGGACAUUUGAGAUUAAAAAGGGAUGAACAGAAGAGACCAGUCAAUAUGACAGCUGAUGAAAACUAGUACAUAGUCCAGUAUCCAACAAGAAAGAUCAUCCUCUGAUCUGUUUUAAAUCCACUUUUGUUUUACAAAAACAAUUCAAAAUUGUAAUAGAACAUAUCCCCACAAUGAGUGUACCCCUUACCAUGCAUUUCUCAAGAAAUUUCUCUGCUCCUAAUAUGUAACACUCUUACUUUAACACAGUGGGCACAUAUUUUACAUGGUACUCAUUUGAUGGUGAAAUAUAUUGUCUUGCCAGUAGUGAUGUAUCUAGUAGUUAAAUACAAGGGUGACCUUUUCAGGAUGAAUUGGCCAUUUCAGGCAGCCAACUUGGAAUGUCAUGAAAGGGCAGAAAUUUCUUAGUUUUUUAAAUAAAUUACAAUUAAAUCUGUCCUAAGAAAGUGGAGAGAUGCUUGUGAGAUUUCUUGCUCAGAUGCCAAAGUAAUUUGGCUUAUUAGGAUAUUAUGCAACUAGCCCUGGGAGGUGUAUUUCUGCCUCAGGCAGCAAAAUGUCUUCAGCUAGUCCUGGUUAUAUACCAACUAAGGGAAUUAUAUAUUUAAGGCAAGCAUGGCAUUCCUCAGUCCAGUUGGUGAGUCUGUGGAUGUUUAAAUACGGAUGUUCCAGGACCAGCCAUAUAACACCUAUAUUGCAAGACCUACAUUGGCCGCCCAUUCACUUCUGGGCACAAUACAAGGUGUUGGUAAUGACCUUUAAAGCCCUAAAUGGCUUGGGCCCAGGGUACUUGGAGGACCGCCUCUCCCCAUACAGUCCGCCCCGCACUCUCAGAUCGGGCGAAAAACAUCUUUUAAGAGUUCCUAAGACAAGGUAUGUGUCUUCUUCUCAAAGGGCUUUCUCCAUCAUGGCCCCUCAGACCUGGAACUCUUUGCCCGACGAGCUCCACUCAGCAACCUCUCUAGAUCUAAUUUGAAGACCUUUCUUUUCCAUCAAGCCUUCCCCAAUACCCUAAUACCAUCCUUUCUCUCCCUUGUUGCAUAUUGUUUGAUCCAGCUAUUUUUGUUGUACGGUUUUAAUUGGUUUUAGAUUGUGAAUGAUUGUAAGGAAUGUUUUUAGAUUAUUCUGCAUUGUUUUAAUUGCUAUGGGUGGGUUUUUUGUAUUGUUGGGAUAUGGGUUGUUAUAUUGUCUUUGAUGGAGAAGUUGUAAACCGCUGUGAUCUGCAAGAAAUAGCAGUAUAGAAAUGAAAUUUCAUUCAUCAUUCAUUCAAGUAUGGCAAUUGGCUGCCUAUUUAAUUUGGUUGAAAUGCCUGCAUAAAGAUGGAGCAAGAGCUCCAGAUGGACUGAAGAAUGUCAUGCUUGACUUAGUCCAAUAGAAAUGUUACUAUUUUGAACUACAGUCAGCCCACCAUAUCCAUGGAUUCUUUAUCCACAGAUUCAAGCAUCUAUAGCAUGAAAAUAUUCAACAAAUAUAAAAAAAUUAUAAAUAGCACACCUUGAUUUUUCCAUUUGCAUAUCAUUUUACUACACCACUGUAUUUAAUGGAACUUGAACAUCCACAGAUUUUGGUAUCCAUGGGUGGUCCUAGAACUAAACUCUAGCAGGUACCAAGGCCCACUGUACAUCCCUAAAUAUAAUGGUUCCCAAACUUUGGUCCUCCAAUGUUUUUGGAUUUCAGCUCCCAGAAUUCCUGGCUGUUAGCUAAGCUGGCUAGGGUUUCUGGGAGUUAAGGCCCAAAACACCUAGAAGAACAAUAUUUGUGAAUGACUGCUUUAAUCAUUGCUGUUAGAUUCAGAAAUCAUGAUGUAACUGUAUGAGGGCCAUCACAGAACUGUACCCUAUUCUUCAGUGCUGACUACCUCUGACAGGUAUUGCAUUCUGUGUCAGCAGGGCAGUGAAUCUGCUCCAGGUUCUAGCUCAAACUUUAAAGGAGCCAUCCAAGAUGUAGAACAGUAGCCCACAAAUAGUCUGACAUCUUAGAUAUCUGUCAGACUAAAACCUAGAACAAACUAAGACCCACAGAGGCAGAAGCCACUGUUGAGCAUGAAGUGUGUAGCAGAGUAUCAACACAAAACCAGUAGGCAUGAUUGAAGACACAGUAUAGCCAUCCAGAUUGUACUACGUUGUUGUACUACGACUUCUCUAAUUUCCAAGAUGUAUACUAGCUGGAAAAUGGGAAUUGUUGACUAAGACAUUUGGAGGAUGCCAGGUUGUGAUGUUUGAUAUGAAGAAUUCUUAGGUUGAGAGAAAAGAACAGCUAGGAAACGUACCUGCAUUUGUGAACAAAGUUAUCACAGUCUUUCUCAGAGGAUGGCAUUUGUCGUUUAUGCAAGACAGUGCCAAGCUAUUCUCCUUAUGACUUUUUCAAUAUUCAUUUUUAAUGCCACCUAACCUUGAGUAGCCUUUCAGGAAAUAACCUAAAUAAAUCACAAAGAAGACCAUUCAUUCUUUUAAAACUGCCAGAAUUGUUCUUGCUGAAAUGAAAUUUUAUCUCUACACUAGGAGAUGAAGUUCACAAGAGGCUAUUUCUGAGGUAUUUGAACACUUCUAGAAGGAUUAUCUGAGGUGACUUUGAGAUGCAGUGGUAUCUUUGCACCAGCUGUUCUUUGCUAAACUCUCCUAGAGGCAUUGUGAGGAAGACAUUUAGUAGGUAUUUAUUUGAGCCCCAAUUCUUUAUUGCAUUUGCAGCUGUCAGGUAACACAAAUUAUUCAUCCUAGUCUUUUUCUAGACAUGUUGACAUUGUGGGCCAAAUUGUUGCUUUAGCUGGGUUGGGUGAAAUCAUAAUCUAUCAUUACAUAGUUGCAAGCCAGGCAUCUCCCUCCCCCUUUCAGGCCUGAAAAUCAUUUUUCAUUGAACUCCCCCCACCCCUGUCUAUUUUCUUUAUAGCACUGAAACAAUCUCCAGAUAUUUACCCAUCCUCUGGUACCCAAACACCUACUAAGCACCAGUACAGAUCUGAUAGCACCAUGCCAGUAGACCUUUCCCUGGCAUGUUCAGUGCCUUUAAGGCUAAAAAAAAUCCCACAUCUCCUUUCUCAUCUUUUUAAUUUUGAAAUUGUGUUGUUAAUGAAUCUUCCAAAUACAUAGGAAAGAGUUAACAUCAAAUUCUAAUGAUAAAUAUUAGCUCCUCCUUUCAGCCUACUGUGUUCACCCUGGUCCUGUAUAAACUACUUUCUCUGCCUCAAGGCAAAGAACCUUACUUUGGGGAGGUAAGCAGAGUAUCCCCUGCAGCACAAUGAAUCUUUCUUGUCAGAAAAAAUGAUAAUGCAUGGAAAAUUCUCUAAGGCCUUCAAGGGCCUGGAACUAGCACUUAGAAUGUUAAGUUUGAAAAUUAAUUUGAUCAUGUAAAGCAUUAGAAAUUGAGAGAUAAAUGCAUCACCACAAAUUCAAAUAACUGAAAUAGUCUGAUUAUUUGAAUUACCAUCAGUUAACUUGUGUUUUAAAACAUUAGUGGAUUUACAGAGGAUGGCAUGGAAAAUUUUACCAUUGAUUCUCAGUGUAUGUUUUGUUAUUGGUAUUGCUAAAAGUGCUUUUUUUUUCAUUUUAAAGUCACCUUCCUCCAAUGUGGAAUUGUUCCCCAAGAUGGAUGAUAUAUACAAACCUUGGCUGGGGAUGGUGAGACUUAGGGGCAGUACAGAAUGGCACUUUGUGCCGGCUUGACUGCGAACUAGGGCUGUGGUAGAGCGGAACGUUCACAUGCUCCCAAACCUUACUAUGCUCCCUGGGCACCAUCUUGGCACAUGCCCAUCCAUACGAGGCGUGUCAUGAUGAUGCACGUGUGUCACAGCACCCAAAUGGCGCUGGCUGGAAGAGGCGUCAUGAUGAUGCAUGAGUGCCACUAUGGCACCCCUUCCAGGAAGCUGCUUAUAGCAGCUUCUGUUUGCUCCCAAGAGGGAGCGGAUCAUUGCUGCGGUGUGCAGUUGCCACAGCAACAAUCAGGGGCAAACAGGGGCAGUGUUUAGCUAUUCGUCUGUUGAGCCCCUAAGUUCAACACUUCUGGAAAUUGUCAGGUUAGAAAAACAUAAAAAUAAUUAACCAAGUUGCCUAGCAAAAGUUGCCUAGCACUGUUUGGGGGACAAUCAAUAGUCUAAGGGAGUCAAUGCAUUCACCCCAAAUAAUAAUAGAUAACAUUAUUUAUUGAAGAAUAAUAUACAACAGUAUUAUUCAUUCAUCAUUAUUACAAUAUCUAAUAGAAAGCAGAAUAGAGAGUAUAAUUAAAGAGAAUCACAGCACAAACACCACUUCCCAGAAAGACACACAAAACACUGGGGAAAGGCAUCAGACUUCCAGGCCUAAAUGGCCAGACAUUCUGUAAGUCCCUUCACCAAAAAAUAGAAAGAAAGAAAGAAAGAAAGAAAGAAAGAAAGAAAGAAAGAAAGAAAUCCUAUCAAACUGGGACUCCAUUUUUUUAUUCUCAAUUUUUCUUCAGUCCCAGAUCUUCAGUACCUUCAGAGCCAUUCUGCUGGGUUUUGCUGCCUCACAGUAGAGCCAUGUAAUGAAUUUCUUCCAGUCCUAAUACUUCAUCUUCUCUGACCUUCCUGUCUUAAUGAAUCUUCCACAUGAAGAACCAUUUAACAAAUACUGCAGACUGGGACAGCCAGAAAAAUCAGCAGUAGCAGAACAUGUUACAAAACAUCCUGGGCAUAAAAUACUGUUUGAAAAAACUGAAAUUCUGGACCAUGCCAGCCAGUGCCAUGUCAGGAUGCACAGGGAAGCCAUUGAAAUCCACAAACAUUUGGAUAAUUUCGACUGGAAAGUAGAACCCUUAAAGUGAACAAAAUUUGGCUACCAGUCCUGAGGAAUAGCAAAAUAAGGACUCAGCAAAUGCAAAUGGGAAACCAUUCAGAGUCAGGGGCUUUCCCAGCAGAUAAUGAUCAC